rnacentral:rRNA from 1 species
UACCAGUUCUUGCAUAGCCAAUCCCUCUAUUUAAUAAAUAAGGAGAAAGUAUUUAUUUAUAUAAAUAGUAAUUUGUAUUAUUAUUUUUAUUAUAUUGUUUUUUCUUUUUUUUUUAUUUAAGACUGGAUUGAGUGAUAGUUAUUUAUAAAUAAGUUAUUUUACUUUUUUUUUGUUUUUCCAUAUUUAAUAUACACCUUUGUAGUUAUAUUUAGCCCUAGGGAGGUACAUACUACUUUUCCUUUGCUUUGCAAAGAUAAAAGCAAAAGUGUUCCAACAUAGGAUUGAUAGUAAUAAGGCAAAAGUAGAAAUAUAAAUGGAGUAGACAAAAUAGUGUAAAUAUA